rnacentral:tRNA from 1 species
GCCUUCGAGUGUAGUGGUCAGCACACUCGGUACGUAAUCGAGAGGUCCGCGGUUCGAUUCCCGGCGAAGGCG